CGAAAGUAGAGCUUUUUGGUUAUGCUGCAACAGACUGUUCAGUAAAGUUUGCUUCUUCUAAACAGUGUCUGGAGUUCAUUUCAACUCUUGCAAAUAUUGCAUGGUAUCAGAAGACUACCUAAAAACAUAAGGCAGUGAAAAAUGGACCAGCUGAACCCUCCAGGAACGUUGGUGUUUGAAGGAAACGCAGCAGAGAACUGGAGAAGAUUGGAAGCAAGGGUUUGAAUUGCGCUGCGUUGCAAGUGGAGCAGAUAAGAAAGAUGAGACCCACCAGUCAGGAUUAUUUCUGCAUGUGGCAGGUGAAGAAGCAAGAGAGAAAUGUGGAGAACUGAAGACUGAGAAACUGAGAGAACUGAAACUGGCGGAUCUUCCCAUCCCUCUGCUGUCAAGAGAGUGACUGGAGAAAGUAUCCUCUGAUCUGGGCCAAUUAUGGGAAGGAGGCAAGGAAGGAAAGCAUCCCACCUCUGCCCCAGGCAACCUGAGGGCCAAAUGCGGGUGGUGGGCAGGGCCAGAAGCAAAUGUGUGCAGAGCGCCAAAUGUAAAUUGUGCCCUUGUACUAAUGGCUGGUCCCUCUGCCCACACCCAACACGUCCUUCUGUAUCCUCCAUCUGGGCAAGCAAGAGGCAUCCUUGGAGUUCCAAGACACUCAAAUUCUAGUCCUCAAGAAAGGAAUUCCCUUCCAAGACCGGUCGUCUUCUCCUGCCUUCUUCAAUCUAGCCUGACACACCCUCCCCAGAAUACCCCCAUUUUACACUCGCUGUCAGUGAGGAACUGCACCAUAAGAACAUAAGGAGAGCCUGCUGGAUUCGGCCCACAUCCCACCUAGCCCAGCACGAUGUUCUCUCACAGUGAUCAACCAGAUGCCUCCCUGGGAAACAUUUUAAAAAAAAAUCUCCAGUUUAAACCGCUGUUGAAACAGGAAAGGAUCCUCUCUCAAGAGAACCAUAGAACCUUGGGCUGCAUUUACACACAUCCUGUGUGGAAUCAUCUGAAGUCACUCUGGAUUUAUGGAGACUGGUCACGUGGCUGCGAUCAGAGAGGCAUAACAGUCUCAGAGAAGGCUACACUGCAGCAACGGCUCCUGGGAGCAGAUUGCAGAGGGGGUCCUCAUUAGAGCAACGGGGUGUCCAGGCCACCUAAGCCGUCACUACAGGGAAGGUUCCCAGAUGCUCUCUAUUGCAAGGGACACCCUCCCUUUGGAAAGGCAGCACCUCACUGCAGAAUGUUGUUUGGUGGUGCAUGUAUAGUUCCCUAGUUUCCUGAAUAGUAAGAAUACCAGAAGCAGUCACUACAGGGCUGUGAGGCUCAGGAGAGAGAGAGAGAGAGACAGAGAGAGCCGGGAGACUCACAGUGUUUUUGUGAUACCUGUCACCCAGUGAAGGAAAUAUUAAUAAAUUAAUCAUAUGUUUUAGUCAACGAAUCAAUAAGUUCUACGGUAUGAUCUGAAGGCAGUUGAGCAGGGCUGGUGCCAGGCAUGACUGGGCCCUUGGACACCAGUCUGCCCCGGGCCCACGGUGCCUGCACGCAUGCCCCACCUACUUCUCUGUCGCUUCAUGAGAAUACUCUGUCACUGUGCACACAGGGCUGCCGUCAACCAAGAUGGCAGCGGAGGCUUCCCUAAGGGGCUGAUGCCCCCGUCACCAUCUUAGUUGAUGGCACAUAUGCAUGUUAUGCUACGUGCGUGCACAUGCCUGCCAUCAAUCAGAAGUCGGAGCAGAGGAGAAGGCAGCCAGAGACAGUGGAGGCUAGCCCAUUAGGGCUAAUGGGGCAUGGCCCCACCCCUCUACCUCCAGCCAGCCCCCACCUGCCUGCCUGGAUAUGGAAAACGUGGAUUAUCCCGCUCCGUUUGGAUGAGCCCUCUGUCUGACUAAUUUACAGGGAAGGUAGAAUCUUAGCAAGGAUUCAAACACACACAUAAGCUCGCUCACAACUCUCCGACUCUCUGACAAGUAAAAUAAGAAAAGCUACUUUAUUUAUAGAAAUACAUAGUAGAUAGAAAGGGAAACCUAGUUCUAACUAACUAACUGAGGGUUCAUCCAAACGGAGCGGGAUAAUCCACAUUUUCCAUAUCUGGUUCGUCAUCUGACAUUCCUCACUUUGCCUGUUUGUUCGCUCUUUCACAAUAAAAAAACCCGCUUUUUUUGCUCCCACACACGCAGCGAGAGGACCCAUACUUCUUGCUUUUUCCCAGCUCCGCCCAUAACACUCCCCCUAUCAGCCAAUUGGUCCGCAAAAAUAUAACUUAUGUUCCUCUCCCCCUUUGCAACAAAGCUCAAGGCGCAUGCGCUUGAACGUACGAGCGCAAAAGUUUGAAUUUCCUGAUGGUUUGGUAGUAGUGGCUGUAAUGGAGUUCCUUGUCGUUCACCACUCUGGAGCAGGGCCAGCCUGGGGGGUGUCUCCAGGUGCCCCGACCAUCCAGGGGGAUUGUGGGCAGUGCAAGGGAUCAGCGCUUGUAAUCGCCAGGCAAAUCCCCCCGUAACCCUUGGGCUCAUUCACUGCAGGGUUCAGCCCUGGACCGUUAUGUGGCUCGGCAGCAGGAAUGCUGCCCCUGAGGGAAGCAAACAGCCUCCCCCCCCCACGAGUGGCCGCUCUUGGCUCAGGCAGGGAAUGCAGGCAAACAGCCCCGCGUGCUGCUAUGUCAAUCCAGGACAGGCUUUGCGGUGUUCCCUCUGAUAAAUGAAACAUGCAAACCACUUAUAUGCCUAUAAUUCCUGUAUUUUUAUUUGUUUGUAUUUGUGAUAUUUCGCAAAACUGACUGUAUGAUUUUCUACCUUUAACGUUUCUGGAGAUACACAUGAUUGCAAUUCCACUUAUUUCUCCAGAACAGCAAGUAAGGAUGUGUCAUGUCUAGGAAGGUAGACCACCAGUCUCUAUGGUUGCAGGUGGCUGAGAUGCUCUAGCAAACCACUUAUAGGCCAAUAAUUCCUGUGGGUUCUUUUGCUUGUAUU